rnacentral:RNase_P_RNA from 1 species
CAAGUAUGAAAGACGAUUGCGAGUCUAUAAGACUCGAGGAAAGUCCGAGCUCCAUAGGGCAGGAUGCCAGAUAACGUCUGGCGAGGGUAACCUUAGGGAAAGUGCCAUAGAAAAGGAAACCGCCACGUAAGUGGUAAGGGUGGAAAGGUGAGGUAAGAGCUCACCAGCAGUCUGGUAACAGGCUGGCUCGGUAAACCCCAUCCGGAGCAAGACCGAAUAGGGAAGGGU